rnacentral:tRNA from 1 species
GCCGAGGUGAUGGAAUUGGCAGACAUGCACGAUUCAGGGUCGUGUGCCUGCAAAGGCAUAAGGGUUCGAAUCCCUUCCUCGGCA